rnacentral:lncRNA from 1 species
UGUUCUGCAGUCUUUUUAUCUAAAACUUUGUUUGUUUGUUUUUAAUGAUUAAUCAUGUUCAUUUAAAAAUGUAUGCAGGAAGGAUUUUUUAUUUCUAUUUUUCACUGAUAAAAAUUUGCACACUGUCUUUUAAGCCUUCUUGACAGUGCCAUUCUUUGCUCUCAUCACAGCACAAAGAAACACUGUUAUUUACCCUGGGAAACAGGUGACUGAACUUAUAAAAAUCACUACAGGACAAGAUGUAUUGAGGCCUUGCAUAGAAUGACAAAUUCUGGCGGGGUUUGCCAAGAAGAGACAUAUUGAUUUUUAAAUGAUUAAUAAGGAGAAUAUAAUUGUAUUUCAUUAAGAUGGAUGGGAUUUCAUUUAGUCUGUCUUCUCCUUUUCCACUUCAGAUGCGAAAGGAAAUCAAGUCAUCAUCAAUGGCACCUUGUGUUAGCCUGCCAUGGAAACGAGGUCAUUGAUUGAGUAAAAGAAGUUUCUGAGAGGCUAGCCUAGUCUUUAAUGGAGUUGCUAGCAUAGAUAACGUGGCAAAGAUAAGAGCACUUAGUUUUUCUUACAAUUUUGAAAACAACCAGGACUAGGAAGACAUUGAUACCAUCUUUGUGCUGGACUUCAAUGUUUUUCAAGUUGCAUAUUAUCCCAAGUAAAUUGAGUUGGGCAUACAAAAAUGCAGGAUUACUCAUUUAUUUUUAUAAAGUCAUUUGAAGCUAUUCCACUGUCUAAGCCUGCAGGACAGAUAGGCUGAAAAAGGGAGGAGUUCAAAAUCCUGUAAUCCAGGGUAGAAGGACCUCUGACAUCGUGUGGUGAACCUCACUGGGAGGUUGCUGACUUCAGCUGUCUCUGUCUCCUUCCUCCAUGCUCUCUGAAGGAGAAAGCAGAAGAAAAGACGAAGGGACAGACAUCAGAAGAGGAGCAUCGAAGACAAGCUUGAGAGUGCUUUGCUGGAUUUUCAAAGAAUGGCGAGAAUCAGCUGUUGGCAUUUGCCAUAUAAACAUAUGGAGACUUACCAACUCAAGAGAACAUACUAGACAACUGAGAACAGAGCACAUUCCUGAAGAAAAGGGGAUAUGCUAUAUACACCAGGGUGACUGAACUCUCCUGUCUGGAUGGAAGGAUUUCAGCCAGGUCAUUAACAAAACUGCCUUAAAGAAGCUCUUGAUUCUUUAUGGAAGAAGUAAAAGGGGAAACAGUGUUCAGAGCAUACCAGGAAAGUAUCACAAUUGCCUUCCUGGUGCCUGUGCAUUGCAAGAAGAAAUAAACAUAGCAAGGUUAUCUCUGAUAAAGUGCA